AUGGCAAAGAAGUUUAGGAAAGGGACUUGUCUAUACAAAGACACUUUCCUAAACACUUUUUGGUGAGUUUUUGCAACUUGAUAAAAACUUUUCAAGAACUCUUGCAAAGGCUACACAAAGCAAAGGCAGAAUUAUUCCAAGGACAACAGCAACAUCUGGAGCUUUUCGUCUAGUUGUUUAGGAAUUUAUUCUCUUGUUCUUAAAUUGUAAACCACUCCUAAAUCUAUAAAGGAAUUGGUGUGUUGUGUUAGAAGUCUAAGUUGUCCAGGUGGGAUAGCUUAGUGGGUAGAUUGUUUUUCUACUUAGGCUUGUUGAGCAAUAGAGGACUAUUGCUUAACGGUAAGAUUGAUAACUCUUUCUUACGUUUGGUGUAA